rnacentral:rRNA from 1 species
UACGAGGGGGGCGAGCGUUGCUCGGAAUCACUGGGUGUAAAGGGCGCGUAGGCGGCUUAUCAAGUCGGGGGUGAAAGCCCGUGGCUCAACCACGGAAUGGCCUUCGAUACUGGUAGGCUUGAGACCGGAAGAGGACAGCGGAACUGCGAGUGUAGAGGUGAAAUUCGUAGAUAUUCGCAAGAACACCAGUGGCGAAGGCGGCUGUCUGGUCCGGUUCUGACGCUGAGGCGCGAAAGCGUGGGGAGCAAACAGG